GAAAUGCGAUAAGUAGUGUGAAUUGCAGAAUUCAGUGAAUCAUCAAAUCUUUGAACGCACAUUGCGCCCCUCGGUAUUCCGUGGGGCAUGCCUGUUCGAGCGUCAUCUACACCCUCAAGCUCUGCUUGGUGUUGGGCGUCUGUCCCGCCUCCGCGCGCGGACUCGCCCCAAAUGCAUUGGCAGCGGUUCCUUGCCCCCCUCUUUGCGCAGCACAUUGUCAUUCGAGGCGGCGGCGGCCCGCGUCCAACAAGCUCAACCCCCCCGUCUUUGACCUCGGAUCAGGUAGGGAUACCCGCUGAACUUAAGC
rnacentral:misc_RNA from 1 species